CAGGCCUAGGGGGGCAGCAGUCGGGAAUAUUGCGCAAUGGAGGAAACUCUGACGCAGUGACGCCGCGUGCAGGAAGAAGGUUUUCGGAUUGUAAACUGCUUUAGACAGGGAAGAUAAUGACAGUACCUGUAGAAUAAGCUCCGGCUAACUACGUGCCAGCAGCCGCGGUAAUACGUAGGGAGCAAGCGUUAUCCGGAUUUAUUGGGUUUAAAGGGUGCGUAGGCGGGACGGUAAGUCAGCGGUAAAAAUGCGGAGCUCAACUCCGUCGAGCCGUUGAAACUGUCGUUCUUGAGUGAGCGAGAAGG
rnacentral:rRNA from 1 species